rnacentral:tRNA from 1 species
GCCCCGGUAGCUCAAUUGGAAGAGCGGUCCCGUCCUAAGGGAAAGGUUGUGGGUUCAAAUCCUGCCCGGGGUA